UAAAACUUUCAACAACGGAUCUCUUGGUUCCAGCAUCGAUGAAGAACGCAGCGAAAUGCGAUAAGUAAUGUGAAUUGCAGAAUUCAGUGAAUCAUCGAAUCUUUGAACGCACAUUGCGCUCCUCGGUAUUCCGGGGGGCAUGCCUGUUCGAGCGUCAUUA
rnacentral:rRNA from 1 species